UUUGAGUAGUUUAUUUAGAAUUAUAAUUUGUGGUAUUAUAGGUGGAUGUUUUCCUCAAAUC
rnacentral:tRNA from 1 species